GAUGAACGCUGGCGGCGUGCCUAAUACAUGCAAGUCGAGCGAACAGACGAGGAGCUUGCUCCUCUGACGUUAGCGGCGGACGGGUGAGUAACACGUGGAUAACCUACCUAUAAGACUGGGAUAACUUCGGGAAACCGGAGCUAAUACCGGAUAAUAUAUUGAACCGCAUGGUUCAAUAGUGAAAGACGGUUUUGCUGUCACUUAUAGAUGGAUCCGCGCCGCAUUAGCUAGUUGGUAAGGUAACGGCUUACCAAGGCAACGAUGCGUAGCCGACCUGAGAGGGUGCUCGGCCACCCUGGAACUGAGACACGGUCCAGACUCCUACGGGAGGCAGCAGUAGGGAAUCUUCCGCAAUGGGCGAAAGCUUGACGGAGCAACGCCGCGUGAGUGAUGAAGGUCUUCGGAUCGUAAAACUCUGUUAUUAGGGAAGAACAAAUGUGUAAGUAACUAUGCACGUCUUGACGGUACCUAAUCAGAAAGCCACGGCUAACUACGUG
rnacentral:rRNA from 1 species